rnacentral:lncRNA from 10 species
UUUUGAGAAGUUGAAAUUUGAGAAAAGGCCUGAAGGAGCUGAGGAGGUGGGUGAGUCAUGAAUGCAUCUCGGGAAGGAGUUCCCCAGGCUGAGGGAGCUGCACCUGAGGAAACCCAGGAGGCAAAGGUGGUCCUGGUCAGGAUGAUGAGGAGGUCCGUGUGGCUGGAGCAGGUGAGCUAGGUGGAGAGAGGCCGUAGAUGAGGGCAGAGCUGCUGCGGGAGCCAAACGUGUAAGGAUCUUUUCGGGCAGUGAGAGGACGUUGGUUUCUCACAGCAGAGAAGGGACAUCAUCUGACAUAUUUUAAAAGUAUCUCUCCGGCUCCCUUGUGGACUGUAAGGGACCAAGAGUUGAAACAGGCACCCAGGAGGAGUCCUUCCAGCAACUGAGAGGACUUGGUCCGAUUCUACCUCCGGAACAAUGCUCAGCCCACAGCCCUCAUUCCCUCCGUGAUGAACAGUAACUGUGGACUUUUGACCUUCCUCUUGAGCUUGGUCUGAGUCUUGGCAUUUACAACCACGGCUCUAGCUUUGCAGAUGUUGAGGCCCUAGACACAGCAGCUUUCUUCAAUCAAGUGAUAAAAGAACAAUUGGACCAUGAGAGAACUUACUGGAAAGUAAUGCAGGAUCACCAGGAAGGAACAGGAAUUCACUCCUCGGUCACAGUCUUCAUAGUCUGAUUGGGAGUCAAUCAGGUCUAAAAAGGUCAGUGAGAAUGUAUGUCUGACUUUGGCAGGCUUCCAGCGCCUUACAGUCAUGGAAUAGUUUGUUGGGUUGUAGUUUUUUCCAGAGCCUAUUCAGAGCUUCCUUUGGCUGCUCUAUCCAUGUCGGCUUCCUCACACCGCCACCCCACCACUAUUUUCCCCUCACUUAUUGUCUGUCAAUGCAAAGCUAUUGUUCCCGUUAACUAAAAUCACCAAUAAACAAAUAUUUUUUUUCUCUCCAUUUCAUCUUCCAUAAAACUUGACUUUCAGGUCCUUUCCCCUGUACCCUCGUCUCUGGGAGCUGGUCCCAGGUCUCAGGCCCUAGAAAGCAAACAUCUUCCAUAAAAGGUCAGUGCAGAGAGUUUAGGUGAAACCUUAUGCUGAUGCAAAUGGGCUAGAUGAUUGCUCUGGUGAUUGUGUAGAUUAAUGUGUGUACAUGUGUGUGUGUACGUGUGUGUCUGUGUGUCUGAUUCUGACCUUUAAAUUAGGCUUCUUCCCUGGGCCCCUGCUGAAGGAAUUUCUUUCAGCAGCCUGGGUGCCAUUGGUUAGCCUCCAGGUAGACAUUAUCUCUUCAUUGUUGUCAAGUCUUCAUUCUGUCCCUCCCAUUUUUCACCAUGUGAAUCCACCUUAUGAUCUGUUUCAAAGUUGAACAAGAUGAGAACUUUCAAAGGCUGGAUGAAGAAUGGAAUUUUCAAUGAAUUUAAUGACCUAAUUCUCAAAAAGCACCUGCUAUGGUUCCUGCCGCUGUGAGAGGAAUAUCAAUGGCUUCAAUAUUCCAUUGUUUGUGACUGAGAAGCAUUUGCCUGCUGUACUGGGCUGCUUAGUUUUUUCAGACUGGCCACAAGGCAGAAAAUGUGGCAGAUAUAUAAAAGGAAAAUGUUGGCCAACAUGCCCUACAUCAGUGAACUGCAUCAAGCAUUCCUUCAGGAAGCCUAAGAAUGAGACAUCUCCCCAAUGGCCUGGUGGAUUGUUAAGAAGCUCUGGAGUAGGGAGUUGUUGAACACAUCGGCAUGCCAGUGUUCUAUUACAUGGCCUGGGAUAUUUUUGAGGAUAAUCUUCUUCCUCCUUCAUGGAUUUGGAUCAU